UGCCCUAGUACGGCGAGUGAAGCGGCAACAGCUCAAAUUUGAAAUCUGGCGUCUUUGGCGUCCGAGUUGUAAUUUGCAGAGGGCGCUUUGGCAUUGGCAGCGGUCCAAGUUCCUUGGAACAGGACGUCACAGAGGGUGAGAAUCCCGUACGUGGUCGCUAGCCUUUACCGUGUAAAGCCCCUUCGACGAGUCGAGUUGUUUGGGAAUGCAGCUCUAAAUGGGAGGUAAAUUUCUUCUAAAGCUAAAUACUGGCCAGAGACCGAUAGCGCACAAGUAGAGUGAUCGAAAGAUGAAAAGCACUUUGGAAAGAGAGUUAAAAAGCACGUGAAAUUGUUGAAAGGGAAGCGCUUGCAGCCAGACUUGCCUGUAGUUGCUCAUCCGGGUUUCUACCCGGUGCACUCUUCUAUAGGCAGGCCAGCAUCAGUUUGGGCGGUUGGAUAAAGGUCUCUGUCAUGUACCUCCUUUCGGGGAGAACUUAUAGGGGAGACGACAUGCAACCAGCCCGGACUGAGGUCCGCGCAUCUGCUAGGAUGCUGGCGUAAUGGCUGUAAGCGGCCCGUCUUGAAACACGGACCAAGGAGUCUAACAUCUAUGCGAGUGUUUGGGUGUCAAGCCCGAGCGCGUAAUGAAAGUGAACGGAGGUGGGAACCUUUCGGGGUGCACCAUCGACCGAUCCUGAUGUCUUCGGAUGGAUUUGAGUAAGAGCAUAGCUGUUGGGACCCGAAAGAUGGUGAACUAUGCUUGAAUAGGGUGAAGCCAGAGGAAACUCUGGUGGAGGCUCGCAGCGGUUCUGACGUGCAAAUCGAUCGUCAAAUUUGGGCAUAGGGCGAAAGACUAAU
rnacentral:rRNA from 1 species